rnacentral:rRNA from 1 species
UUCCUUUUGUAUUUAUAAAAGGUAAAGCCUGCUCUAUGUAAUUAUAUAAAUGGCUGCGGUAUCCUAACUGCACUAAGGUAGCAUAAUUAAUUGUCUUUUAAAUGGUGACUUGUUUGAAUGGCUUAAUGAGAAAAAAACUUUUUUUAAUUUAUUAUGAAAUUAUAUUUUAAGGUCAAAAUACCUAGAUAUAAAAGAAAGACGAGAAGACCCUGUUGAGUUUAACAAUAAAAUUUUUGUUUAAAUGGGAAAUUAGAUUUUGAUAUAAAAUCUUAAAGAUCCAGAGCAAUCAGUUCUGAAAUAGGAUAAAAUUACCACAGGGAUAACAGGAUAAUACUUAUUGAGAGUCCUAAUCGAAAUGAGUGGUUAUUACCUCGAUGUUGAAUCGAAGUUACUAUUUGAUGCAGCAGUCAAAUAAUAGUGGGUCUGUUCGACCUUUAAAAUUUC